rnacentral:lncRNA from 1 species
GACGUGCCUCUGCUUUAGCGAUGGGCGCACAAGUGUAGGAAACGUGGAAGACCGAGCCUGGGUGGCUGUGCACCAGAGAAUCCCACGCAACUGCCUUGCGAAUUUGUCCUCUGCUGCUUUCGUGUUGAACCCGAGCUACCAACUGGUCCCUCUGAAAGCUAACACGGCCUCCAGGCCUGGGGUCCCGGCUUCCUGCGGACAGCACGUGGUGGACUGUCGCUGUCAACACGGCGACUGUCCUACCGUUUUCUCAGCUGUCCCAGGAUUUUUAAUUUUUUUUAACUCUGAAUUCCCAGGCAGCCGCUGCUGGGUGACCGAGGAUGGGAUGCCGCGGAGAAGGGCGGGCAGGCUCGCCGGGGGCUGGUUUGGGCUGCCCUUGCGGGUGCAGGGAGCCGGCGGCAGGGGCUGCGCAUGCGGGAAAGAGGGUUGUGCUGGAGAGGCGGAGCCCGGAAGAGUGGCCCAGCCCUGCGAGCUUAGCCUGUGGACCCGACCCAAAGGGCAGGGGGUUCUGUGUGAACCAGGCCUGUGCUCAAGCCGCUUGGCCUCCGUGCCACUUCUCACAGGAAGCCUCGAGCUGAGCCCUGCGGGAGGCCGCUCAGAGGACUCUGCUGUGUACUGCCCCAGGCCCCUGCGCACGCGCCACUCACAGGGCAGUGGGGCCUGCGGGACACGGAGGACCCCCAAGACACCUGCGCUGGCUUCCGCCCUCACCACCAGCCCAAGGGGUGCUGCCGGAGCCGACUGCCCUCAGAGGAAGGGUCUCUGGCUUGUUCCCUGGCUUGGCUCCUCUCCUAAGAGGUGGCCGAGAGGCAGCCUCCCCAGCGACUCAUCUUCUGGCCCCACGAUGCUAAGCACAGUGCCUUUCACCUACUUUCAAAUGACUGAGCGAAUGGAGCGAUCCAUCCCGAUCUUUAAAGUGCAGAAUGGGAUGGCGCAGAGGUGUGAAUAUCGACAGGUGCGAGCAUAUGGAAGCCGUGAACACAUCGAACACACCACUUCCAGACGCGUCUUCAGCUCCGCUGAGCUAGUCUCCCUUCAUCCGAGCCUGCAAGGGACCUUUGAAGAGGAGUAA